rnacentral:rRNA from 1 species
CCGCCCCGAAUUGUAGUCUAGAAAUGCGCCAUCGGCCGCGCCCGCCGCUCAAAUCCCUUGGAACAGGGUAUCGGAGAAGGUGAGAAUCCUGUGCCGUGGCGGUUCGCGGCCGCACGAUGCGCUCUUGUCGAGUCGGGUUGCUUGGGAUUGCAGCUUGAAGUGGGUGGUAAAUUCCAUCUAAAGCUAAAUAUUGGCUCAUGACCGAUAGCGAACAAGUACCGUGAGGGAAAGAUGCAAAGAACUUUGAAAAGAGAGUUAAAGAGUGCUUGAAAUCGGCAAGAGGAAACCCGUUUGUGCCCGGUUUCGUGCCGUCGACUCAGCCGUUCGCGUGCUUUCUGGGGACCUCACGGCCCCUUGGCUGUAGCGAGCGGUGCACUUUGACGGCGCGGGUCAGCCGCCACCCUCUUUGCGACACAGUUCGCUCGGUGGGACUUCGGUGAGCCUUGCGCAGCGCCGCGCGGGGGGUGCCGGCUGACAGAACGGGCACAACCGACCCGUCUAGAAACACGGACCAAGGAGUCUGACAGGGUUGCGAGUUCCCGGGUGGCAAGCCCGCGAGCGCAAUGAAAGUAAAGGGGGUGCCCCCCCAACCGACCUUGAUUUACUAUGAAGGGUUUGAGUGGAGCAUCUCUGUCGGGACCCGAAAGAUGGUGAACUAUGCCUGAGGAGGGUGAAGCCUGAGGAAACUCAGGUGGAGGCUCGUAGCGAUACUGACGUGCAAAUCGUUCGUCGAACUUGGGUAUAGGGGCGAAAGACUAAUCGAACCAUCUAGUAGCUGGUUCCCUCCGAAGUUUCCCUCAGGAUAGCUUGAACGCAACGGUUUUGU